AGAGAGAGAGAGAGAGAGCGAGAGUAAGAAGAAAGAGAAGGCAAGGUAGAGAGGGCGGUGAGUGACUAGGUAAGAGAGAGAAUGGGAAAGAGACCACCUUAGCACUUUAACCUAUAAAUUGGUAAUAGCAAGCGAGAGUGGCCUUACUGUUAACCAAAUAGAAGUUCAAAGAGUUCUAAGAUAUAAAUAGAAGAUCAGAAAUAAUGGUAUUACAAGGGCUAAAGUUCAAAGAUGGUGAGUCAAAUUACCCAACUGAACUUUACAGCAUAGAUUGGGAAAAAAAAUUGAUGAAUGCUAGUAGACUUACCCAAUUUGGUGCCAACCAGUACCACUGGGACUCCUGG
rnacentral:misc_RNA from 1 species